rnacentral:rRNA from 1 species
CCCUUAAAUGAUUUGGGCUGCACGCGCGCUACACUGACCCUAACAAUGAGCAACUGUCUGGCCUGAGAUGGCUGGGUAGCCUUUUCAACCCAUGUCAUGAUUGGGCUAGAUUUUUGUAAGUCUUGAUCUCUAACGAGGAAUCCCUAGUAUGCGUGAAUCAUCAAUCCAUGCAGAUUAUGUCCCUGCCCUUUGUACACACCGCCCGCCGCUCCUACUGAUUGGGUGAUCCGGUGAGCUGUUCGGCCAUAGCAAUGUUUCUUGAGCAGGGCAAUGAAUGUUUCGCAAACCUUGCCACUUAGAGGAAGGAGAAGUCGUAACA